rnacentral:rRNA from 1 species
UACGUAGGGUGCGAGCGUUAAUCGGAAUUACUGGGCGUAAAGCGUGCGCAGGCGGUUUUGUAAGCCAGGUGUGAAAUCCCCGGGCUCAACCUGGGAAUGGCAUUUGGGACUGCAAGGCUGGAGUGCGGCAGAGGGAAGCGGAAUUUCCGGUGUAGCGGUGAAAUGCGUAGAUAUCGGAAGGAACACCAGUGGCGAAAGCGGCUUCCUGGUCCAGCACCGACGUUCAGGCACGAAAGCGUGGGGAGCAAACAGG